rnacentral:rRNA from 1 species
AUUGAACGCAGGCGGCAUGCUUUACACAUGCAAGUCGAACGGUAGAGGGGCAACCCUUGAGAGUGGCGAACGGGUGAGUAAUGCAUCGGAACGUGCCCAGUAGUGGGGGAUAACCCGGCGAAAGCCGGAUUAAUACCGCAUACGACCUGAGGGUGAAAGCGGGGGAUCGCAAGACCUCGCGCUAUUGGAUCGGCCGAUGUCAGAUUAGGUAGUUGGUGGGGUAAAGGCCUACCAAGCCGACGAUCUGUAGCUGGUCUGAGAGGACGACCAGCCACACUGGGACUGAGACACGGCCCAGACUCCUACGGGAGGCAGCAGUGGGGAAUUUUGGACAAUGGGCGCAAGCCUGAUCCAGCCAUGCCGCGUGCGGGAAGAAGGCCUUCGGGUUGUAAACCGCUUUUGUCAGGGAAGAAAUCUUCUGGGCUAAUACCCCGGGAGGAUGACGGUACCUGAAGAAUAAGCACCGGCUAACUACGUGCCAGCCGCCGCAGUAACAC